rnacentral:tRNA from 212 species
CGGGGUGUGGCGCAGCUUGGUAGCGCGCGUCGUUCGGGACGACGAGGCCGCAGGUUCAAAUCCUGUCACCCCGACCA